AUAAAUACAUACACGGCACAAAGUGGAUGCCUUGACUCGAAUAUCCGAUGAAGGACGCGCAAGACUGCGAUAAGCCUGGGUAAGUUGUCACGAAACGUUACAGCCCAGGAUUUCCGAAUGGGGGAACCCUAUCCAUCAAGAUGGAUAACCUGAUUAGGAGGACACCAGCCGAAUUGAAAUAUCUUAGUAAGCUGGGAAAAGAAAUCAACCGAGAUUCCGAAAGUAGUGGCGAGCGAAAUUGGAACAGCCCAAACCUGUACGGUGCCAAGGAUGAGCCCGUUGCCGUACGGGGGUUACACGACAUAUCACCGCAAAGCUCAUAUAGCGAUACUGAUAUAUAAUUACAGAAAAAUUACCUGGAAAGGUAGGCCAAAGAGGGUAAUAGCCCCGUAUUCGAAAUAAUCUGUAUAUUUGGUACGAUAUGCUCGUAAGUAGUAUCGGACACGUGAAAUCCGGUAUGAAGUUAGGUCGACCACGAUCUAAGGCUAAAGAGUAUUCGAGAUCGAUAGUGAACAAGUACUGUGAAGGAAAGGUAAAAAGAACCCCGGGAGGGGAGUGAAAUAGAUCCUGAAACUUUGUGCUUACAAAGAGUCGGAGCGCUUCGGCGUGACGGCGUGCCUUUUGGAGAAGGAACCAACGACUUACGUAUACGUGGCAAGGUUAAGACAGAUAUAGUCGGAGCCGAAGGGAAACCAAGUCUGAAUAGGGCGAUUUUAGUCACGUAUAGUAAACCCGAAACCCGUGUGAGCUAUUCAUGGCCAGGCUGAAGGUGGGGUAACACCUACUGGAGGGCCGAACCAAUUGGAGCUGCAAGUCCACUGGAUGAGCUGUGAAUAGGAGUGAAAAGCUAAUCGAACCGGGAGAUAGCUGGCUCUCCGCGAAAUAUAUUUAGGUAUAGCGUAUAAUAGUAACCAAGAGGGGUAGGGCUCUGAUAAGACUAGCGGGUUUAUUCCAACUUAGCAAAUCUUGAUAAACUUCGAAUACUCUUGGCGGAAUAUUAUACAGUCGGACAGUGACGGAUAAGCGCCAUUGUCAAAAGGGAAACAGCCCAGAUUCCUAUCUAAGGUCCCCAAGUUAUAACUCAGUGGAAAAGGAUGUGCGAUUACUAAGACAGCCAGGAUGUUGGCUUAGAAGCAGCCACUCAUUCAAAGAGUGCGUAAUAGCUCACUGGUCGAGUGAUUGUGCGCCGAAAAUUCAGCGGGGCUUAAGUUAUACACCGAAGAUGGAAGAUUUAUACAUUAGUAUGGAUCGGUAGCGGAGCGUUCUGUAGGCCUGUGAAGCAGUUGGGUAACCACCUGUGGAGGUAUCAGAAGUGCAAAUGUUGGUAUGAGUAACGUAAUGGAGGUGAAAACCCUCCACACCGAAUACCCAAGGUUUCCUGUCCUACGUCAGUCGUGGCAGGGUUAGUCGGUCCUAAGGUGCACCCGAAAGGGGCAAGCCGAUGGAUAUCUGGUUAAUAUUCCAGAACUAUAUACAAGAGGUUAUUACCUAUGUGGGGACGCAUCGCGAAUAUCGGACACUCUCAUGGAUAUGAGUGAAGAGUAAUGCUUUUGGUUGUGUAGGCAAAUCCGCACAACAAUACAAGAGGGUUAUGAUUCCUUACCCAAUACUUCUUCGGAAGGGAUAAGUAAGGUCCUGUGAUAUGAAGGUGCCAAGAAAAGCCACUCUGGGACGAAUGUAUAUAACCGUACCGUAAUCGAACACUCGUGGGUGGAUGUGAGUACAUUAAGGUGGACGGGAUAACUGAGCUUAAGGAACUCUGCAAAACAGCGGUCGUAACUUCGGGAUAAGACCUGCCUCCUCAGCAUUUAUCUGAGAGGCCGCAGCUAACGAGUCCAGGCGACUGUUUACCAAAAACACAGCUCCGUGCUAAAUCGCAAGAUGAUGUAUACGGGGUGAUGCCUGUCCGGUGCCAGAAGAUCACGGGGAGGGGUGCAAGCUCUGAACCUAAGUCCUGGUGAACGACGGCCGUAACUAUAACGGUCCUAAGGUAGCGAAAUUCCUUGUCGGGUAAGUUCCG
rnacentral:rRNA from 1 species